rnacentral:rRNA from 1 species
AGCUUGCUUCAUGAUUCAGAUUUUGGUGAGUGGCGGACGGGUGAGUAACACGUGGGUAACCUGCCCAGAAGUGGGGGAUAACAUUUGGAAACAAGUGCUAAUACCGCAUAACAACUUAGAUCACAUGAUCUUUGUUUAAAAGAUGGUUUUGCUAUCUCUUCUGGAUGGACCCGCGGCGUAUUAGCUAGUUGGUGAGGUAAUAGCUCACCAAGGCGAUGAUACGUAGCCGACCUGAGAGGGUAAUCGGCCACAUUGGGACUGAGACACGGCCCAAACUCCUACGGGAGGCAGCAGUAGGGAAUCUUCCACAAUGGACGAAAGUCUGAUGGAGCAAUGCCGCGUGAGUGAAGAAGGUUUUCGGAUCGUAAAACUCUGUUGUUGAAGAAGAACAUACGUGAGAGUAACUGUUCACGUACUGACGGUAUUCAACCAGAAAGCCACGGCUAACUACGUGCCAGCAGCCGCGGUAAUACGUAGGUGGCAAGCGUUGUCCGGAUUUAUUGGGCGUAAAGAGAAUGUAGGCGGUUUAUUAAGUUUGAAGUGAAAGCCCUCGGCUCAACCGAGGAAGUGCUUCGAAAACUGGUAAACUUGAGUGCAGAAGAGGAAAGUGGAACUCCAUGUGUAGCGGUGGAAUGCGUAGAUAUAUGGAAGAACACCAGUGGCGAAGGCGGCUUUCUGGUCUGUAACUGACGCUGAGAUUCGAAAGCAUGGGUAGCAAACAGGAUUAGAUACCCUGGUAGUCCAUGCCGUAAACGAUGAGUGCUAAGUGUUGGAGGGUUUCCGCCCUUCAGUGCUGCAGCUAACGCAUUAAGCACUCCGCCUGGGGAGUACGAUCGCAAGAUUGAAACUCAAAGGAAUUGACGGGGGCCCGCACAAGCGGUGGAGCAUGUGGUUUAAUUCGAAGCAACGCGAAGAACCUUACCAGGUCUUGACA